rnacentral:rRNA from 1 species
AAAUUGAAGAGUUUGAUCAUGGCUCAGAUUGAACGCUGGCGGCAGGCCUAACACAUGCAAGUCGAACGGUAGCACAGAGAGCUUGCUCUCGGGUGACGAGUGGCGGACGGGUGAGUAAUGUCUGGGAAACUGCCUGAUGGAGGGGGAUAACUACUGGAAACGGUGGCUAAUACCGCAUAACGUCGCAAGACCAAAGAGGGGGACCUUCGGGCCUCUUGCCAUCAGAUGUGCCCAGAUGGGAUUAGCUUGUUGGUGAGGUAACGGCUCACCAAGGCGACGAUCCCUAGCUGGUCUGAGAGGAUGACCAGCCACACUGGAACUGAGACACGGUCCAGACUCCUACGGGAGGCAGCAGUGGGGAAUAUUGCACAAUGGGCGCAAGCCUGAUGCAGCCAUGCCGCGUGUAUGAAGAAGGCCUUCGGGUUGUAAAGUACUUUCAGCGGGGAGGAAGGUGUUGUGGUUAAUAACCACAGCAAUUGACGUUACCCGCAGAAGAAGCACCGGCUAACUCCGUGCCAGCAGCCGCGGUAAUACGGAGGGUGCAAGCGUUAAUCGGAAUUACUGGGCGUAAAGCGCACGCAGGCGGUCUGUCAAGUCGGAUGUGAAAUCCCCGGGCUCAACCUGGGAACUGCAUUCGAAACUGGCAGGCUUGAGUCUUGUAGAGGGGGGUAGAAUUCCAGGUGUAGCGGUGAAAUGCGUAGAGAUCUGGAGGAAUACCGGUGGCGAAGGCGGCCCCCUGGACAAAGACUGACGCUCAGGUGCGAAAGCGUGGGGAGCAAACAGGAUUAGAUACCCUGGUAGUCCACGCCGUAAACGAUGUCUACUUGGAGGUUGUGCCCUUGAGGCGUGGCUUCCGGAGCUAACGCGUUAAGUAGACCGCCUGGGGAGUACGGCCGCAAGGUUAAAACUCAAAUGAAUUGACGGGGGCCCGCACAAGCGGUGGAGCAUGUGGUUUAAUUCGAUGCAACGCGAAGAACCUUACCUGGUCUUGACAUCCACAGAACUUUCCAGAGAUGGAUUGGUGCCUUCGGGAACUGUGAGACAGGUGCUGCAUGGCUGUCGUCAGCUCGUGUUGUGAAAUGUUGGGUUAAGUCCCGCAACGAGCGCAACCCUUAUCCUUUGUUGCCAGCGGUCCGGCCGGGAACUCAAAGGAGACUGCCAGUGAUAAACUGGAGGAAGGUGGGGAUGACGUCAAGUCAUCAUGGCCCUUACGACCAGGGCUACACACGUGCUACAAUGGCGCAUACAAAGAGAAGCGACCUCGCGAGAGCAAGCGGACCUCAUAAAGUGCGUCGUAGUCCGGAUUGGAGUCUGCAACUCGACUCCAUGAAGUCGGAAUCGCUAGUAAUCGUGGAUCAGAAUGCCACGGUGAAUACGUUCCCGGGCCUUGUACACACCGCCCGUCACACCAUGGGAGUGGGUUGCAAAAGAAGUAGGUAGCUUAACCUUCGGGAGGGCGCUUACCACUUUGUGAUUCAUGACUGGGGUGAAGUCGUAACAAGGUAACCGUAGGGGAACCUGCGGUUGGAUCACCUCCUUA